UCACGGCACACACAUACCGUCUGACGGUCACCAGUGGGGACGAAGAAAAGAUUCCGACUGCCACGCUCGCUGCAUCGGUGGAGUGCUCCUGGACAACAAAAGGCUGGGCCGGAAAGCGAGGCCUCGGAUGAACCCAUCGUGUUUCGUAAGACGGAAAAAAGUGCCACGCAGCCGAUAAAUCGCCAGAUCAUCAGGAGAGGAAACUCCAAACAUAGUUCAAGACAAGGGUUGACCAUUCGGUUUGCCGUGACCGAAUAAGACCGAGCAGGACACACACCAAGAGCAGCAGAGGACUUGAGGCGGCACGGAAGGAACUUCUCCACAGUUACGGGUGCGGAUAAAUUCCCCCGCGCGGAGUGUGCUCGAGCGAAGCUCAUUGAGCAAGCCAGGCAGAACGUGCAUAGGAUCCAGUAUACGGGAACUUCCUACCACAACGGAUAGCGACCGGUAGCCAACGUAUCAAACAUUCGCCGUAAAAGAGAGCCUCCUAGGAGGCUCUUGUUUGGGAAUUAUUUCGUUGCGGAUUUUGGUGGAAACGGCACUCGGCGCCGACUGGAUCAAGCCGUGCAAACAAAGGUGGCUUAAGGUGCGAUCGACGAGCGACUCAAGGUGCGAUUUUGGCAGCAAGCCAUUCUCUCCCGACGAUUGCAGUCCGGGAACAGGAUCACACCCGCGCUGUGCACCAAGGCACUCCAGGACGCAGUCAAAGUGGCGACCGAUGUGCGGUCCAAGUUUUUCCCCUAGUCGGCAUCAAUAGCGGGAGCAGUGCAUGCACGGGCUCAUGGAGCGGUGUGUUCGCGAGGUAGCCGUACGCCGUGUCGAAGGCCGUAGGAGUCAAAUGAAGGGAAGCUGUAGGCGUGAGUAGCCACGAGAUGUGGAGGCAAAUGACAAGUGAAUGUGAAUGAAGAAGGGAAGUAGAGGAACAGAAAUAGGAAGAUUAGCAGGCAGGAAGGAUAGAAGUUGAGAUACACAGGGGAAAUUGAUGAAGAGCAGAUAGCGCAUAAGAAAUAAAAUGUUUGCACACAA